AACCAGACCGAGGGCACACUGCUAUGACCUAUGAAUUGACAGCCAGUCCCCCUCCUGUCUGCUGGCUGUCAGUUUUGUAGGACACAAGUAUGUCCCUCUCCACGCCCUC